AGUGAACGCUGGCGGUAGGCCUAACACAUGCAAGUCGAACGGCAGCACAGUAAGAGCUUGCUCUUACGGGUGGCGAGUGGCGGACGGGUGAGGAAUACAUCGGAAUCUACUUUUUCGUGGGGGAUAACGUAGGGAAACUUACGCUAAUACCGCAUACGACCUACGGGUGAAAGCAGGGGAUCUUCGGACCUUGCGCGAUUGAAUGAGCCGAUGUCGGAUUAGCUAGUUGGCGGGGUAAAGGCCCACCAAGGCGACGAUCCGUAGCUGGUCUGAGAGGAUGAUCAGCCACACUGGAACUGAGACACGGGCCAGACUCCUACGGGAGGCAGCAGGGGGGAAUAUUGGAAAAUGGGCGCAAGCCUGAUCCCGCCAUACCGCGUGGGUGAAGAAGGCCUUCGGGUUGUAAAGCCCUUUUGUUGGGAAAAAAAAGCAGCAGGUUAAUACCCCGCUGUUCUGACGGUACCCAAAGAAUAAGCACCGGCUAACUUCGU
rnacentral:rRNA from 1 species